GACGAACGCUGGCGGCGUGCUUAACACAUGCAAGUCGAACGGAAAGGCCCUGCUUUUGUGGGGUGCUCGAGUGGCGAACGGGUGAGUAACACGUGAGUAACCUGCCCUUGACUUUGGGAUAACUUCAGGAAACUGGGGCUAAUACCGGAUAGGAGCUCCUGCUGCAUGGUGGGGUUGGAAAGUUUCGGCGGUUGGGGAUGGACUCGCGGCUUAUCAGCUUGUUGGUGGGGUAGUGGCUUACCAAGGCUUUGACGGGUAGCCGGCCUGAGAGGGUGACCGGCCACAUUGGGCCUGAGAUACGGCCCAGACUCCUACGGGAGGCAGCAGUGGGGAAUAUUGCACAAUGGGCGGAAGCCUGAUGCAGCAACGCCGCGUGCGGGAUGACGGCCUUCGGGUUGUAAACCGCUUUCGCCUGUGACGAAGCGUGAGUGACGGUAAUGGGUAAAGAAGCACCGGCUAACUACGUG
rnacentral:rRNA from 1 species